GACUCGGAUUCUUCGGGAGGAUUUUCUCAAGAGAAGACCAUUUUAAUCACUCCUGUGGAAACUGCUAGCCAUGAUGAGGGACAUGCAUUGCCAAUGGAUAGGACCACUUUAACCACUCCUGUGGAAACUGUUAGCCAUGACGAGAGGCAUGCAAUGCUAAUAGAUAAACCUUCGGGUGAUAACCAAUACAAGCAGCCAAGCUGUGGUAAUUUAGGCCCUGAUGACAAUUAUCA
rnacentral:misc_RNA from 1 species